rnacentral:rRNA from 1 species
GGUGACGGCCCACCAAGGCUAUGACGGGUAGCUGACGUGAGAGCGUGAUCAGCCACACUGGGACUGAGACACGGCCCAGACUCCUACGGGAGGCAGCAGUGGGGAAUAUUGCGCAAUGGGCGAAAGCCUGACGCAGCGACGCCGCGUGGGGGAGGAAGGCCCUAGGGUUGUAAACCCCUGUCAGGUGGGACGAACCGUGGAUCGGCAAAUAGCCGGUUCGCCUGACGGUACCACCAGAGGAAGCUCCGGCUAACUCCGUGCCAGCAGCCGCGGUAAUACGGAGGGAGCAAGCGUUGUUCGGAAUUACUGGGCAUAAAGGGCGCGUAGGCGGCUUGGUAAGUGUGAAGUGAAAGCCCACGGCUCACCCGUGGAACUGCUUUGCAUACUGCCAGGCUCGAGGACGGUAGGGGAGAGCGGAACUCUUGGAGGAGCGGUGAAAUGCGUAGAUAUCAAGAGGAACACCAAUGGCGAAGGCAGCUCUCUGGUCCGUUACUGACGCUGAGGCGCGAAAGCCAGGGUAGCGAACGGGAUUAGAUACCCCGGUAGUCCUGGCCGUAAGCGAUGGGCACUAGCUAGGGGCCUCCCUGUGGGGUCCCUGGCGAAGCAAAUGU